CAAAAUUCACAAAAUUAGUAUCAUUCAAGAAACAAAGAUAGAGAGAGUGAUAAUAAACAACUCCAAAUUUUACAAAUAAUGCUAAAGAGAGAGAGCAAAAAGCUAUAAAUUUCACAAAUGAUGCUACAGAGAUUACUGUAACACAUACACACAGGCAAACACACAUCUAAAAUUAAAUAAAAAAGAAAAUUAGAAAAUAUUAAACCUGAGAUUUGCAAAUUAACGGCGAAAAUGAGAGCCUUGGAUGCUGACCUAGAGGCCUGGGCACAAUGAAGAGCAUACCCUGUUUUCGAGAUGACCGUGUUGCCUCUUGCCCGCCUUUGGACUAUAUCUCUCUAGGAUCUUCCUGCCCUAAUCCUCUGACAAACAAAAUCUCUCUCCAAGAACCUCUUUCUCCCUCUUUUAAUGGUGCGUGCUCUCUCUCCUCUCCAAGAAGCCCUCUCUUCCUCAAAUCUGUGUGCUCUCUCUCUCCUCCAAAAAAACCUUCGGUUGGGUGUUUUCAAGCAUCUUAUCAAGAGAGAGAAAAUGAGGUCCUGGGGUGCUGGUAAUGGAGAUAACGACGUUUUGGAGGUGGGUUUUAGUCCCUCUGAUCUGUGUGCUCU
rnacentral:lncRNA from 1 species